AUGCUCAUGACAUUAAGUUUAAAAGAACAUGUAUUAGCAAGUGAUAGAAAUGGGAUUGUACCCAUGUCUGCUGUGUUCCAAAAUCUAUGGCAGAGUCCAGGGUGGUUUGGAAGGACGAAAAAUGCAGAGAAAAGACAGAUCUGUUUUCUCCUACUCAGAAGGCGUGGAGAGAAAUCCAAGUUCUCCAAAAAAGAGACGGAAUGCUGUUCUACCUCACUGUUCACUCCUGCUUCAAACUUUAACUUUCGGACUCACAUCGUUUUUAGAACGUUAAACCAUUUUUCAAAGACAUUAGCCUCCCAAGAAGUAGUGAGGGUUAGUUGCAGUUUAAGCAACAUUGAAACACAUGAAUUUUGAAAAACAAAGCAAAACACACGGGCUGGACAUUCUUUCUCUUUUCCUUUGCAGACAACGGAGUUAUAACAUUGAAAACAACCCAGAGUGUUUGCAGCAUCUUAAACUGCUCUCCCUGGACACUCCAAUCCUCCGAAGAGAAGUUUGGGAAGACACGAGCUGUUGAGAAGCUGCCAGUUAAGAAGUCAGUGCGGAAGCCACUUUCAACCAGAGUUGUGUAAUCAGAACUGUUGGUCCUAAGUAUGUGUUUGAGUAAUGUAUUAAAUGGCAUUAACAUGGACAGUAAAACUCUUGCAUUAUUUUCUUCCCUGGGGACAUAUAAUGCAAAACUUCAUUCACUGGAGCCAGUUUGGUAAAUGGGGCAGAAAAUGCCUGUAGAACUGAUGUAAUGUUAUGAAAAAAGUGGAGCAUAAGAUGGCAUAUAAACUCUUAAUGGCAUUGUUUCCUAGAUUCUCCAUGUGCAACAAAGUGGAUGGUGUUGCUGCUUUUAAGGGAAC
rnacentral:lncRNA from 1 species